rnacentral:rRNA from 1 species
UACAUAGGUCCCAAGCGUUGUUCGGAUUCACUGGGCGUAAAGGGUGCGUAGGUGGUGGGGUAAGUCGGAUGUGAAAGCUCGGAGCUCAACUCCGAAAUGGCAUUGGAAACUACCCUGCUAGAGGAUUGGAGGGGGGACUGGAAUACUUGGUGUAGCAGUGAAAUGCGUAGAUAUCAAGUGGAACACCAGUGGCGAAGGCGAGUCCCUGGACAAUACCUGACACUGAGGCACGAAAGCUAGGGGAGCAAGCGGG